rnacentral:rRNA from 1 species
UACGAAGGAAGCUGGCGUUGUUCGGAAUCACUGGGCGUAAAGCGCACGUAGGCGGAUUUGCCAGUCAGGGGUGAAAUCCCGGGGCUCAACCUCGGAACUGCCUCUGAUACAGCAAGUCUUGAGUCCGGAAGAGGUGGGUGGAAUUCCUAGUGUAGAGGUGAAAUUCGUAGAUAUUAGGAAGAACACCGGUGGCGAAGGCGGCCCACUGGUCCGGUACUGACGCUGAGGUGCGAAAGCGUGGGGAGCAAACAGG